AUUCAUCUUCAAAUGUAUGUAUGUAUCUCUCUAACCAUAAAACUCCACCCAAUAACGGAACUAAUUGUUAUUGUUAGUGCGCAUUAAAAUAUACCCAUUUUAAAAAUGAUUUAUUUUUAAAAGAAAUAAGUAAUCGAGUCGAAACUUCAUUAUUUAUCAAUAUUAAAGAAAAAAUAUUAAACAAGUUACAUCUUUUUGUAUCAAUAUAGAUUACAUGUAAGUUGUUACAAGUGCGCAAUAACGUGCACUAUAUUUCUACAGUCGAUAGAAGAUAACUGGCAAUUGUUACAAUGCGCAAUAACUGUGACGAUAUUUCUACAGUCGAUACAUUUGUUUUCCUAGUUUAAAUUUAUUUUUAGGGCUAUGUUCGUUGUUACCCCAAUUGAUACAUACAAAUAGUUUCGAAUUUUAAAAAAGAAUGUAUAUAAUAAUAAAAACACAUCAAUUUGAAAAAAAUACACAUUUGACCAAUAGGAAUAAAGUAAAUUCUAAUUGUGCAAUCAAAUUACAGUUACUAAUUUUAUUUAAAUUAUUCAGUAAUCUAUUCAUAUAACGCCCCAUUUCUGUAACGUUCUGGAACAAAAGUUGUUAGUGAUAAUUGUUCAUUACUUUAUUCUGACUUCUAACGAAGACACUAUUUUUAUUAGCGCCAUUUUUUGAUCUAAAUUUGCGAUGGCUACUGGACUAGCUGGAAAAACGAAAAGUGGCCGAAGUGUGAUGUUUAGUCAUCGACAGAACUGUAUUCUAGUUGAAGUGGUCAUCGAACAUUACGAUAUUAUUAUCGGAUAUCAAGCAAAAUCUGUCAACCCUCAAAGAAAAAAGGCUAUUUGGGAACAAAUUAGUCGUGCUGUGUCAGCAGAGGGUAGUUUUCCGAAAGACGUCAGGGCCUGUCGGAAGCGGGUGAAUGAUAUUCGUAAGAAUAUUAAAAGAAAAGUAUGCAAGGAAAAGCAGUUAUCAAAAGGAACUGGUGGAGGCCCCGCAUAUAGGGCUGAACUGCUUGACUACGAACAGAUGCUGUAUGCCAGGAUGGGGGAUGCUGUCGUGGUGGGACUUGAUGUACCAUCAGAUACCAUGGAUUUUCGAGGUAAAUAUCUAAUUGAUUGCUAUUAAACGAAUAGUAUAAUAUAUUCUUAACUUAUAUUUCAAGAUUCAGACAGAGCAUACCCUGUUAAUAAUUUUUUUAUAUGAAUAUUUUUUAUUUUUUUUAUUUUAAUAUGUAUUGAACAAAGUAUGCUUGUAAGCUUGGAAGCAGGACCAUUUUUGGAUGAGGACCUGGAUACCGCUUGUUAAUUGGCUGGCUACAUUUAAAAAGAAACCAAUCAGCAAGCGCUAAACAGGUGUCACACCCAAAAAUGGCCACGCUUCUAAACUUAGAUUUUUUGUUUGGGAAAUGAGAGAUAAUCCAAAAAGAAGAAAAUAUAAAAAUUUUAAUAGUAUUGAAUUAUAAACAUUUUUUGAAAUUCAAUGCUCUAUCAGAAUAAUGAAAUAAUAAUUUACACUACACUAUUUCUUUAACAUGUAUUUUGUAUAUUCAUUUUCUCAAUAUUUAAUUUUAAUUAAAUUUUAAUUUGUUUAUAUCUACUAUAGAAGAACAUGAACAGGCAUUAGAAAAUGAAUUAGAAAAUGCCCAGGUGGACCUACCAUCCGAGUCUGAGUUGACUAGUGAACAACCCACAACAUCUUCAUGUGGUAUACCAUGCAGGGAAGAAACUACCAGUGUCAUGGGAUUACUACAAACUAUGCAAGAUUCGUCAAUUACAUUAUUUGAUGAUGAAAUAGAAAUCACAUUACAACCACUUGUGACUGACACAGUUUGUCAGGAGGAUGAUGAUGAUGAGACACAAAUAGAGGGACAAACAUCAACACAAGUUGAAACACCACAUGUAGAGGAAUCAGAAUGUGAGGAAGAGAUUGAGG